GGUAUGGCCUAGUCGGUUAAGGCGCCAGAUUGUGGUCCUGGAGAUCGUGGGUUCGAUUCCCACUAUC
rnacentral:tRNA from 1 species